UAGUUAUUCUGAAUAAUAACAAUUAAAAAUAAAUAAAUAAAUUGAUCAAUUAACAAAUUGAUCACUGAGAUUAUGGCAUCAACUUGAUUCAUAAUCGGUAGUUCCAUUUUACAAAUACAGAUACAAGUGAAAGGAUUAUUUCUAUCUUGCAGAAAGUUGAUAAAAAUGGAUUAAUAAUCAGAACUCCAUCUAUCCUGACUAGCUCAUAUGCUGAUUAUGAUAAGCUUCAAACUGUAGUAUU
rnacentral:misc_RNA from 1 species